rnacentral:rRNA from 1 species
AUUGAACGCUGGCGGCAGGCCUAACACAUGCAAGUCGAGCGAGCGGCGGACGGGGGAGUAAUGUAUGGGGACUGCCCGCUAGAGGGGGAUAACUACUGGAAACGGCAGCUACUACUACAUAUUAUCGGAUAACUGAUAUGGGAUUAGCUAGUAGGUGAGGUAAUGGAUCACCUAGGCGACGAUCCCUAGCUGGUCUGAGAGGAUGAUCAGCCACACUGGGACUGAGACACGGCCCAGACUCCUACGGAGGCAGCAGUGGGGAAUAUUGCACAAUGGGCGCAAGCCUGAUGCAGCCAUGCCGCGUGUAUGAAGAAGGCCCUCGGGUUGUAAAGUACUUUCAGUCGGGAGGCGUUACCGACAGAAGAAGCACCGGCUAACUCCGUGCCAGCAGCCGCGGUAAUUC